UUGGCCAUUAAGUAUUUAAGUCUUGCUGUUUUUCACCCAAAAUGCAAAACCAAGUAAACCAAGCAAAAAUUGUAAAAUUCAGUAAUUGAAAAAGGGCUCUAUUUAUUACAAUUACAACUUACAAGCUGACAGUGGAGACUGUGGAGUGCGGUGUCGCUGGUGUGGCCUGUGGUCUGUGGAGUACGGACUGUGCGGUGUGGCCUGUGCGGAGCGGACGGCGGAGUCGGGCGGACCUGCAGGCUGCGGAGGCGAGCAGCAAAGCCGGCGACAGAGGCAGAAGCAAAAGCCAGAAGAAGGGCCAACCGGCCAACCGCCAACGCAGAUUCGUGGUGGACAGUGGACAGUGGACUCACCUCACGUCACUCACCGUCUCACAGGACUGUGUCACUGCUCACUGUCACUGUGGA
rnacentral:lncRNA from 1 species